CAAGUAGAACGCUGAGAACUGGUGCUUGCACCGGUUCAAGGAGUUGCGAACGGGUGAGUAACGCGUAGGUAACCUACCUCAUAGCGGGGGAUAACUAUUGGAAACGAUAGCUAAUACCGCAUAAGAGAGACUAACGCAUGUUAGUAAUUUAAAAGGGGCAAUUGCUCCACUAUGAGAUGGACCUGCGUUGUAUUAGCUAGUUGGUGAGGUAAAGGCUCACCAAAGCGACGAUACAUAGCCGACCUGAGAGGGUGAUCGGCCACACUGGGACUGAGACACGGCCCAGACUCCUACGGGAGGCAGCAGUAGGGAAUCUUCGGCAAUGGGGGCAACCCUGACCGAGCAACGCCGCGUGAGUGAAGAACGUUUUCGGAUCGUAAAGCUCUGUUGUUAGAGAAGAAUGAUGGUGGGAGUGGAAAAUCCACCAAGUGACGGUAACUAACCAGAAAGGGACGGCUAACUACGUGCCAGCAGCCGCGGUAAUACGUAGGUCCCGAGCGUUGUCCGGAUUUAUUGGGCGUAAAGCGAGCGCAGGCGGUUUUUUAAGUCUGAAGUUAAAGGCAUUGGCUCAACCAAUGUACGCUUUGGAAACUGGAGUACUUGAGUGCAGAAGAGGAAAGUGGAAUUCCAUGUGUAGCGGUGAAAUGCGCAGAGAUAUGGAGGUACACCAGUGGCGAAGGCGAC
rnacentral:rRNA from 1 species